rnacentral:rRNA from 1 species
UGGGGAAUUUUGGACAAUGGGUGAAAGCCUGAUCCAGCAAUGCCGCGUGUGUGAAGAAGGCCUUCGGGUUGUAAAGCACUUUUGUCCGGAAAGAAAUCCUUGGCUCUAAUACAGUCGGGGGAUGACGGUACCGGAAGAAUAAGCACCGGCUAACUACGUGCCAGCAGCCGCGGUAAUACGUAGGGUGCAAGCGUUAAUCGGAAUUACUGGGCGUAAAGCGUGCGCAGGCGGUUUGCUAAGACCGAUGUGAAAUCCCCGGGCUCAACCUGGGAACUGCAUUGGUGACUGGCAGGCUAGAGUAUGGCAGAGGGGGGUAGAAUUCCACGUGUAGCAGUGAAAUGCGUAGAGAUGUGGAGGAAUACCGAUGGCGAAGGCAGCCCCCUGGGCCAAUACUGACGCUCAUGCACGAAAAGGCGUGGGGGAGCAAACAGGAUUAGAUACCCUGGUAGUCCACGCCCUAAACGAUGUCAACUAGUUGUUGGGGAUUCAUUUCCUUAGUAACGUAGCUAACGCGUGAAGUUGACCGCCUGGGGAGUACGGUCGCAAGAUUAAAACUCAAAGGAAUUGACGGGGU